UGUCCAGGGGAGGGAAUCGAACCCACACCCUUCUGCUUACCGGGCAGGUGCCUUGUCCACUCGGGCCGAGUGGAC
rnacentral:tRNA from 1 species